AAAAGUUAGUUUAAAUAAAACAUUAAUUUGUCAGAUUAAAAAUAUUGCUAGCAAUACUUUUUA
rnacentral:tRNA from 1 species